rnacentral:rRNA from 1 species
AAAGCGCAUGCAGGCGGCCUGUUAAGUCAGAUGUAGAAAGGCCCGGGGACCUUUAACCGUACGGUAAGUUGCUAUUUAGUAAACGUGGCGAGGCUAGAGUCUUGUAGAGGGGGGUAGGAAUUUCAGGUGUAGCGGUGAAAUGCGUAGAGAUCUGAAGGAAUACCAGUGGCGAAGGCGGCCCCCUGGACAAAGACUGACGCUCAGAUGCGAAAGCGUGGGGAGCAAACAGGAUUAGAUACCCUGGUAG